rnacentral:rRNA from 1 species
GCUUAGCCAUAAACCUAGGCACAACAUAACAUGCAUGCCCGCCAGAGAACUACAAGUGAAAAACUUAAAACUCAAAGGACUUGACGGUUCCCCAUAUCAGCCUAGAGGAGCCUGUCCUAUAAUCGACGAUCCACGAUAAACCUCACCCUCCCUUGCUUAACCCCAGCCUAUAUACCGCCGUCGCCAGCUCACCUCAUGAGAGAUGUAAAUUGGGCUAAAAGGUCCUACCACAAAAACGUCAGGUCAACGUGUAGCUUAUGGGGGGGGAAGAGAUGGGCUACAUUCUCUAAAUUAGAGAAUUACACAAGGAAAUAUGAAAUUAAAACCAGUAAGGUGGAUUUAGAAGUAAAUUGAACAAGAAAGUUCAGUUGAAUCUUGCUCUGGGGAGUGU